GUGCUCUGGGCCUCGUUGG
rnacentral:miRNA from 1 species